UACGUAGGGCGCAAGCGUUGUCCGGAUUUAUUGGGCGUAAAGAGCUCGUAGGCGGUCUGUCGCGUCGGAUGUGAAAACCCGGAACUCAACUCCGGGCCUGCAUUCGAUACGGGCAGACUUGAGUACUGCAGGGGAGACUGGAAUUCCUGGUGUAGCGGUGGAAUGCGCAGAUAUCAGGAGGAACACCGGUGGCGAAGGCGGGUCUCUGGGCAGAACUGACGCUGAGGAGCGAAAGCGUGGGGAGCGAACAGG
rnacentral:rRNA from 1 species